UACAGAGGUCUCAAGCGUUGUUCGGAUUCAUUGGGCGUAAAGGGCGCGUAGGCUGCGGGGCAAGUCGGGUGUGAAAUCUCAGAGCUCAACUCUGAAACUGCACUCGAUACUGCUUUGCUUGAGGACUGGAGAGGAGAUUGGAAUUCACGGUGUAGCAGUGAAAUGCGUAGAUAUCGUGAGGAAGACCAGUGGCGAAGGCGGAUCUCUGGACAGUUCCUGACGCUGAGGCGACGGAAGGC
rnacentral:rRNA from 1 species